CGCGGGGUAGAGCAGUGGCAGCUCACCGGCCCCAUAAGCCGGAGGUCGAGGGUUCGAAUCCCUCCCCCGCUACCA
rnacentral:tRNA from 1 species